rnacentral:tRNA from 1 species
GCUCUUGUAGCGCAGUGGUUAGCGCGUUCGGCUGUUAACCGAAAGGUGCUGGGUUCGAUCCCAGUUAGAGCG